CGGUUGAUCCCGCCGGACCUGACUGCUAUCGGAUUGGUACUAAGCCAUGCGAGUCAUUGUAGCAAUACAAGGCGGACGGCUCAGUAACACGUAGUCAACCUAACCUAUGGACGUGGAUAACCUCGGGAAACUGAGAAUAAACCACGAUAGAUCAUGAUGCCUGGAAUGGCUUAUGGUUCAAACAAUUUAUUGCCAUAGGAUGGGACUGCGGCCUAUCAGCUUGUUGGUGAGGUAAUGGCCCACCAAGGCUAUAACAGGUACGGGCUCUGAGAGGAGAAGCCCGGAGAUGGGUACUGAGACACGGACCCAGGCCCUAUGGGGCGCAGCAGGCGAGAAACCUUAGCAAUGUGCGAAAGCACGACUGGGUCAGUCCGAGUGAUUCCUGAUAAAGGAGUCUUUUGCCUGUCCUAAAAGCACAGGUGAAUAAGGGGUGGGCAAGUCUGGUGUCAGCCGCCGCGGUAAUACCAGCACCUCGAGUGGUCAGGACGUUUAUUGGGCCUAAAGCAUCCGUAGCCGGCUCUGCAAGUCUUCGGUUAAAUCCACCUGCUCAACAGAUGGGCCGCUGGAGAUACUACAGAGCUAGGGAGUGGGAGAGGCAGACGGUAUUCAGUGGGUAGGGGUAAAAUCCUCUGAUCCAUUGAGGACCACCAGUGGCGAAGGCGGUCUGCCAGAACACGUUCGACGGUGAGGGGUGAAAGCUGGGGGAGCAAACCGGAUUAGAUACCCGGGUAGUCCCAGCUGUAAACGAUGCAAACUCGGUGAUGCAUUGGCUUAUGGCCAAUGCAGUGCCGCAGGGAAGCCGUUAAGUUUGCCGCCUGGGAAGUACGGACGCAAGUCUGAACUUAAAGGAAUUGGCGGGGGAGCA
rnacentral:rRNA from 1 species